AUGCUUUGAACGUGGAGCCCCUUGGCCUGGAAUAGCUUCCUGAUACUCUGAGUCCCUGGGCAGUUCCAACUCCCUGGAGAGUCUGGGCUUCCAGAGAGUUCUGAAGGAGAGUCCGGGGCAGGCAUGGGGCUGCAGCAGGGGCUCGCUGGUGUGGGAGAGAGGAACGCUGGCCAGAGGAGAGCUGCAGAGUGAAGGCAUGGAGGAGCCUCCUGGCGGAGCAGAGGAUGGCAGGGGGUUGCUGCCGCUCUGUGCUCUCCACCAUAGACUCCCAGAGCCUGAGAAACCGGGGGUCCUGGUGACAACCUCAUCCAACCCGCUCAGUUCAACCAUUUUCUCA
rnacentral:lncRNA from 1 species